rnacentral:tRNA from 1 species
UGAGGCUUUAGCUUAGUUUAAAGUGUUUGAGUUGCAAUCAGAANAUGUAUUGUUAUACAGGCCUU